CAUCCCUCCAGGCAAACAGUGAUAUAGAAUGUCAGGUUGUAUCUGCCAUCUGCCUCAUCCUAAACCAGAAAAAGGAAAAGAGGUUUCAUGCACAAAUAUACUGUCUCCCCCCAGAUAUUGUGAGCAUGGCACUUUCUGAUCACCCAAAGGGGGAAUUCAUAUCUCCAAAAACGAAC